rnacentral:rRNA from 1 species
GACGAACGCUGGCGGCGUGCUUAACACAUGCAAGUCGAACGGAAAGGCCCUGCUUUUGUGGGGUGCUCGAGUGGCGAACGGGUGAGUAACACGUGAGUAACCUGCCCUUGACUUUGGGAUAACUUCAGGAAACUGGGGCUAAUACCGGAUAGGAGCUCCUGCUGCAUGGUGGGGGUUGGAAAGUUUCGGCGGUUGGGGAUGGACUCGCGGCUUAUCAGCUUGUUGGUGGGGUAGUGGCUUACCAAGGCUUUGACGGGUAGCCGGCCUGAGAGGGUGACCGGCCACAUUGGGACUGAGAUACGGCCCAGACUCCUACGGGAGGCAGCAGUGGGGAAUAUUGCACAAUGGGCGGAAGCCUGAUGCAGCAACGCCGCGUGCGGGAUGACGGCCAUCGGGUUGUAAACCGCUUUAGCCUGUGACGAAGCGUGAGUGACGGUAAUGGGUAAAGAAGCACCGGCUAACUACGUG